rnacentral:rRNA from 1 species
UUUCUUUUAUGGAGAGUUUGAUCCUGGCUCAGGACGAACGCUGGCGGCGUGCCUAAUACAUGCAAGUCGAGCG